rnacentral:rRNA from 1 species
CCUACGGGUGGCAGCAGUGAGGAAUAUUGGUCAAUGGACGAGAGUCUGAACCAGCCAAGUAGCGUGAAGGAUGACUGCCCUAUGGGUUGUAAACUUCUUUUAUAUGGGAAUAAAAUGUUCCACGUGUGGGAUUUUGUAUGUACCCUAUGAAUAAGGAUCGGCUAACUCCGUUCCAGCAGCCGCGGUAAUACGGAGGAUCCGAGCGUUAUCCGGCUUUAUUGGGUUUAAAGGGAGCGCAGGUGGAUGGUUAAGUCAGGGGUGAAAGUUUGCGGAUAAACCGUGAAAUUGCAGUUGAAACUGGCAGGCUUGAGUGCAGUAGAGGUGGGCAGAAUUCGUGGUGUAGCGGUGAAAUGCAUAGAUAUCACGAAGAACUCCGAUUGCGAAGGCAGUUCACUGGACUGCAACUGACACUGAGGCUCGAAAGUGUGGGUAUCAAACAGGAUUAGAUACCCCAGUAGUC